UAGGGAAUCUUCCGCAAUGGACGCAAGUCUGACGGAGCAACGCCGCGUGAGUGAAGAAGGAUUUCGGUUCGUAAAACUCUGUUGUUAGAGAAGAACAGCGCAUAGAGUAACUGUUAUGCGUGUGACGGUAUCUAACCAGAAAGCCACGGCUAACUACGUGCCAGCAGCCGCGGUAAUACGUAGGUGGCAAGCGUUGUCCGGAUUUAUUGGGCGUAAAGCGAGCGCAGGCGGUCAAUUAAGUCUGAUGUGAAAGCCCUCGGCUCAACCGGGGAGGGUCAUUGGAAACUGGUUGACGUGAGUGCAGAAGAGGAGAGUGGAAUUCCAUGUGUAGCGGUGAAAUGCGUAGAUAUAUGGAGGAACACCAGUGGCGAAGGCGACUCUCUGGUCUGUAACUGACGCUGAGGCUCGAAAGCGUGGGUAGCAAACAGG
rnacentral:rRNA from 1 species